UACCGAGGUGGCAAGCGUUGUUCGGAAUUACUGGGCGUAAAGGGCGCGUAGGCGGUCUUGUAAGUCUUGUGUGAAAUCCCUCGGCUCAACUGAGGAACUGCACGGGAUACUGCGAGACUUGAGUUCGGGAGAGGGAAGCGGAAUUCCGGGUGUAGCGGUGAAAUGCGUAGAUAUCCGGAGGAACACCGGUGGCGAAGGCGGCUUCCUGGACCGAUCACUGACGCUGAGGCGCGAAAGCUAGGGGAGCAAACGGG
rnacentral:rRNA from 1 species